rnacentral:rRNA from 1 species
UGGUAAUGCCGGAUGCUCCGGUUGGAUGCAUGUCCUUCCGGGAAAGAUCCAUCGGUAUGGGAUGGGGUCGCGUCCUAUCAGCUUGAUGGCGGGGUAACGGCCCACCAUGGCUUCGACGGGUAGCCGGCCUGAGAGGGCGACCGGCCACAUUGGGACUGAGAUACGGCCCAGACUCCUACGGGAGGCAGCAGUGGGGAAUAUUGCACAAUGGGCGCAAGCCUGAUGCAGCGACGCCGCGUGCGGGAUGGAGGCCUUCGGGUUGUAAACCGCUUUUGAUCGGGAGCAAGCCCUUCGGGGUGAGUGUACCUUUCGAAUAAGCACCGGCUAACUACGUGCCAGCAGCCGCGGUAAUACGUAGGGUGCAAGCGUUAUCCGGAAUUAUUGGGCGUAAAGGGCUCGUAGGCGGUUCGUCGCGUCCGGUGUGAAAGCCCAUCGCUUAACGGUGGGUCUGCGCCGGGUACGGGCGGGCUGGAGUGCGGUAGGGGAGACUGGAAUUCCCGGUGUAACGGUGGAAUGUGUAGAUAUCGG